GUACAUCACAUAGCUCAGUCGGUAAAGCAUGAGACUCUUAUUCUCAAGUUUGUGCGUUCAGGUUCCACGUUAGGCA